AGUGAACGCUGGCGGUAGGCCUAACACAUGCAAGUCGAACGGCAGCACAGUAAGAGCUUGCUCUUACGGGUGGCGAGUGGCGGACGGGCGAGGAAUACAUCGGAAUCUACUUUUUCGUGGGGGAUAACGUAGGGAAACUUACGCUAAUACCGCAUACGACCUACGGGUGAAAGCAGGGGAUCUUCGGACCUUGCGCGAUUGAAUGAGCCGAUGUCGGAUUAGCUAGUUGGCGGGGUAAAGGCCCACCAAGGCGACGAUCCGUAGCUGGUCUGAGAGGAUGAUCAGCCACACUGGAACUGAGACACGGUCCAGACUCCUACGGGAGGCAGCAGUGGGGAAUAUUGGACAAUGGGCGCAAGCCUGAUCCAGCCAUACCGCGUGGGUGAAGAAGGCCUUCGGGAUGUAAAGCCCUUUUGUUGGGAAAGAAAAGCAGCAGGUUAAUACCCCGCUGUUCUGACGGUACCCAAAGAAUAAGCACCGGCUAACUUCGUG
rnacentral:rRNA from 1 species